rnacentral:rRNA from 1 species
GUGAACGCUGGCGGUAGGCCUAACACAUGCAAGUCGAACGGCAGCACAGUAAGAGCUUGCUCUUACGGGUGGCGAGUGGCGGACGGGUGAGGAAUACAUCGGAAUCUACUUUUUCGUGGGGGAUAACGUAGGGAAACUUACGCUAAUACCGCAUACGACCUACGGGUGAAAGCAGGGGAUCUUCGGACCUUGCGCGAUUGAAUGAGCCGAUGUCGGAUUAGCUAGUUGGCGGGGUAAAGGCCCACCAAGGCGACGAUCCGUAGCUGGUCUGAGAGGAUGAUCAGCCACACUGGAACUGAGACACGGUCCAGACUCCUACGGGAGGCAGCAGUGGGGAAUAUUGGACAAUGGGCGCAAGCCUGAUCCAGCCAUACCGCGUGGGUGAAGAAGGCCUUCGGGUUGUAAAGCCCUUUUGUUGGGAAAGAAGAGCAGCAGGUUAAUACCCCGCUGUUCUGACGGUGCCCAAAGAAUAAGCACCGGCUAACUUCGUG